CACCACUCCGAGCCUCAUCUGUAAAGUGGGAAUGAUAUCUCCCUCCAGGGCAGAUGUCAGGAUUCAAUGGAAUGAGAUCACAGUAACUGUGAGAGCUCCCGUUACAUGAGGAGUACAAGUGAACUCUUCAUGCGCCCCUUUUUAGCGAGAAGUUAACCAUUAAACUCUCCAGGCUUCAGAGCACCCAUUCGCUGUCUACCUGAUCCCUAGGGCCGCUCCCGCCUUCCCCUGUGCCUUCCCUCCACUAGUCAGCACCAGGAAAUGUUUUCGAUAACGUUGCAACGGAGGCCUUGUUCAUGCUGCCGCCAUCGGGGACAAGCGCGGGGGGGGGGGGGUGGAGGCCAGAGGAGACUAUUUCAGUCCUAAAUUGUGCUUAAUAAACCCAUAUCAAAACCAUAAA
rnacentral:lncRNA from 10 species